ensembl:snRNA Gm24674 predicted gene, 24674
GUGAUCACUUCGGCAGCAUAUGUACUAAAAGUGGAACAAUACAGAGAUUUGCACGGCCUCUGCACAAAUAUGACACACAAAUUUGUGAAACAUUCCAUAUUUUU